ACACACAGGGGAAAGAUAAAAUAUAUGGUUCACUCUGCUCCAUUUAUUUACUUACAGCAGCAGUAGAACACACACACACACACACACACACACACACACACACAUACAUACACACACACACACAUAUAUUACACAGUAUGAUAGAUAAGCCACACUAUAUAUAGACCUCAAGUAACACACACACACACACACACACACAUACAUAUAUAUAUUACAGUAUGAUAGAUAACCCACACUAAAUAUAUAUACCUCAAGUAACACACACACACACACACACACAUACUAUACAUGACAACUUUGGCAGAAUGGUCAACUAUUUGUGCUUCAGAAUAGUAGUAGUAGGAGAGAGAGAGAGAGAGAGAGAGAGAGAGAGAGAGAACCUUCCUACCUUAUCUAACACACACACACACUGCUGCUGUCAUCAAAUGGUCAGAGUGGCAGCCAUUAACAGCAACAAUGGAAAUAAAUAAGUGUAUAUAUAUAAUUAACAGUGGUAGUAGUAGUAGUAGUAGUAGUAGUAGUAGUAGUAGUAGUAGUAAUAGUGGUAGUAGUAGUAGUAGUAGCAAAGGACCCACAGGAGGAAUAUCAAGGAAGAGAGAGAGAGUGAGCGAACACAAUCACCAACCCCAGAAGAAGAGGAAGAGGAAGAAAAAGACACAAUCACCAACCCCCAGAAGAGAGGAGGAGGAGGGAGAAGACGCAAGCUUGUACAUAAGGUAGAAAUGACCCAAAAUAAACCAUUGUACCCUAAGCCUUGUAUCCCCAAACACACACACACACACACACAAACACACAGACGCACAUUACACUAGUUUCAUAAAUUACCGAGGAAUUGACGGUUGGCGGACAAAUUGGCGAUGGAAAUGGAUUAAAAUUGAGUGAUCUGGUAAUAUAUAAGAGAGACUAUAUUAUAUCUAUUCUCUCUCUCUCUCUCUCUCUCUCUCUCUCUCUCUCUCUCUCUCUCUCUCUCUCUCUCUCACACACAAAC